GUUAACCAAAUUGUCCCUGACAAUGAAGGAGAUGGUGGAAAGUACGAGUCGUUGGAGGGCCGUUCGAAUCCAAACGUUUAUGAAGAACUUCAUACUUCAACGUCUGGUAACAGAGGGACAUAUAUCAAUACUACCAUCGCUUGUAGAGAUUAGUGUUUAUACAACAUCAGGAAACUCAAUGAGGCGAUGUUUCAUCAAGG